AUGGGGACCCAGGUGUCCAGGUCAAUGGGGACCCAGGUGUCCGGGGUCUCCCACCCGCAGGUGGGCAACAACUUUGGCAGCCCGGACACCCGCCUCUACCUGAGCCAGUUCGCGUCGCAGCCCAGCACCGAGUUCGUCAAGGUCCUCGACAGCUUCGAGAAGCUCAAGGGCCUCUUCAAGGAGCUGCAGGCCAAGAUCUACGACAUCGAAGGUGGGCGCCGACCCCGGCAACGGCACCCCCAGCCCGGGGCGGGAGGGGAGGGGUUGCACCCAAAUAGCUGGGGUGACCCCCCCUCCCAGGGAGAUGCCACCCAAAGAUCGGGGUGCUGCAAGGUGAUUGCACCCCGAUCUUGGGGUCACCUGCAGGGGGAUUGCACCCAAAUUUGGGGGCAUCACCCCAUGCAAUUGUACUCAGAUUUAGGGGGUGUCAGCCCGUGCAAUUGCACCCACAUUUUGGGGGAGCCAUCCCAUGCAAUUGCAUUCAAAUUUGGAGGGGGGGGUCACCCCAUGCAAUUGCACCCAAAUUUUGGGGGGGUCACCCCAUGCAAUCGCACUCAAAUUUGGGGGGGGUCACUCCGUGCAAUUGCACCCGCAUUUGGGGGCAUCACCCCAUGCAAUUGCACCCGAAUUUGGGGGGAUCAUCCCAUACAAUUGCACCCACAUUUUGGAAGAUCACCCCAUGCAAUUGCACCCAAAUUUGGGGAGGUCACCCCAUGCAAUUGCACCCACAUUUGGGGGGAUCAUCCCAUGCAAUUGCAGCCACAUUUUGGGGGCAUCACCCCAUGCAAUCGCACCCAAAUUUGGAGAGGUCACUCCGUGCAAUUGCACCCGAAUUUGGGGGAGUCACCCCCCCAUGCAAUCGCACCCAAAUUUGGGGAGUCACCCCAUGCAAUUGCACCCACAUUUUGGAGGAGUCACCCUCAUGCAAUUGCACCCAAAUUUGGGGCAUCACCCCAUGCAAUGCCGGCCGAAUUUGGGGGUGAUCAUCCCAUGCAAUUGCAGCCACAUUUUGGGGGCAUCACCCCAUGCAAUCGCACCCAAAUUUGGAGAGGUCACUCCGUGCAAUUGCACCCGAAUUUGGGGGCAUCACCCCAUGCAAUGGCACUCAAAUUUUGG
rnacentral:lncRNA from 1 species